AGUUGAUCCUGGCUCAGGACGAACGCUGGCGGCGUGCCUAACACAUGCAAGUCGAGCGAGGAGAUCCUUCGGGAUGAUCCUAGCGGCGGACGGGUGAGUAACACGUGGGCAACCUGCCUCAUAGAGAGGAAUAGCCUUCCGAAAGGGAGAUUAAUACCUCAUAACAUUGCAGUUUCGCAUGGAACAGCAAUUAAAGGAGUAAUCCGCUAUGAGAUGGGCCCGCGGCGCAUUAGCUAGUUGGUGAGGUAACGGCUCACCAAGGCGACGAUGCGUAGCCGACCUGAGAGGGUGAUCGGCCACAUUGGGACUGAGACACGGCCCAGACUCCUACGGGAGGCAGCAGUGGGGAAUAUUGCACAAUGGGGGAAACCCUGAUGCAAGCAACGCCGCGUGAGUGAUGACGGCCUUCGGGUUGUAAAGCUCUGUCUUCAGGGACGAUAAUGACGGUACCUGAGGAGGAAGCCACGGCUAACUACGUGCCAGCCGCAGC
rnacentral:rRNA from 1 species